rnacentral:rRNA from 1 species
GACAGAGGGUGCAAACGUUGUUCGGAAUUACUGGGCAUAAAGAGCACGUAGGUGGUGCGCUAAGUCACGUGUGAAAUCCCCCGGCUCAACCGGGGAAUUGCGCGUGAUACUGGCGGACUCGAGGCGGGUAGGGGUGAGCGGAACUGCGAGUGUAGAGGUGAAAUUCGUAGAUAUUCGCAAGAACACCAGUGGCGAAGGCGGCUCACUGGCCCGGUACUGACGCUGAGGUGCGAAAGCGUGGGGAGCAAACAGG